CAAUAGCGUAUAUUGAAGUUGUUGCAGUUAGAACGCUCGUAGUCGGAUUUCGGGGCGGGGCGACCGGUCUGCCGAUGGGUAUGCACUGGUCGGCGCGUCCUUCCUUCCGGAGGCCGUUCCUACUCUUAACUGAGCGGGGGCGGGAGACGGAUCGUUUACUUUGAAAAAAUCAGAGUGUUUCAAGCAGGCAGCUCGCUCUUGCAUGGAUUAGCAUGGGAUAAUGAAAUAGGACUUUGGUGCUAUUUUGUUGGUUUCGAACACCGAAGUAAUGAUUAAAAGGGACAGUCAGGGGCACUCGUAUUCCGCCGAGAGAGGUGAAAUUCUCAGACCAGCGGAAGACGAACCACUGCGAAAGCAUUUGCCAGGGAUGUUUNCACUGA
rnacentral:rRNA from 1 species